ensembl:snoRNA LOC120096804 small nucleolar RNA SNORA17
CCUGCCCCUAGGGGUAUUGUAGGUGUGGCUGCUGUGUUACAUGUCACAUGUCAGUAGGUGGCCAAGAUGAGAGAGGCUAUGUCUAUGCUCAGUGUUCUGACCUAUGAACAUCUGAAUGAUUAGUAACCUAACAUU